rnacentral:lncRNA from 1 species
CCAUCCUCAGGGACAUUCCCUGUGCCUGAGGAUGGGUGGGGAGGAAAAAGGGGUGGGGAAGUCUGGAGGGUGAUUGUGUCACUUGACACAGUCCCUUGUGAUGGAGGACCCGGUGAGUGAGGGAUGAGGGGGCCCGAGUGAGAUCCCUCCAAGAAAGGGAGGUUACGGCCCCAAAACGCCUGAAAAUUUAUGGAGGAUUCGUGUGUAAAAUACUGAAAACUGCAAAUAUUCCCAUUUUUGUAUAUUCUGAGAAAUUUUAAUGCAUUUAAAAACUGAUUCCGAAAUAAAACCCUGUGUCUGCUGUGUUAUAGUCAGGAUGUAGACUGUAAGGAACUGUGGUUACGGAGCUAGAGGGUGUGACAAUACAAACACAUUUCUCUAUCCGGGGCCAAGGCCGGGGCUGCUCCCGGGAGGAAACGCCGCAGGCCCCGGAACGGCAAUGCCGGAGCCCCGGGAGCGGCGGGGCCGGGCUCGGAGCCAAGAACAUCCCAAAGUGCCUCCUCACCCUCAUGGACAACAGGAAUGUCUUCCAUAGCUCCUGUUUGAGAAUGGCAAUGGCUGUUGGGAGCUCUGGCAGGAGCACCCGGAGACCAGCAGGGAAACAUUUAAAUAAGAAGUGCUGAAAAGAAUUGGAGCUUCUGCACAAUGAAAUCUGCAAGAAUCCAACUUCAAAUCCCCCUGGA